GAAACCAAAGCAGCAAAAACAACUUCUCCGGUUAAUAAUCCAAUCAUCGCACGGAAACACCACGUCUCGUCUCUCCAUGUAGCAAAAGCAAUUGGUAGCAGAAGAAAGACGCCACGCAAAGCCCAGUCCGGCGUCGCCUCCUCCUCCUCCGGCGAUAGGGUUUCUCCCGAUGGAGCAGCUCUCCACCUCCUCGCCGGCGGCGCCGCCCCCGCCCCCGUGGCGGCCGCCGACGAAGAUCAGGCUGCGGCGCCAGAGGCUGGAGGCGCUCCUGCAGGAGCUCCGGCAGACGCUCGACGGGCUGGGCGACGCCGAUCUCGGCGCCUCUCUCUCCGACGCGGACGCCUACACCGAGGCGCCCGAGUACGGGGACAGCGAGGGCGGCGGAGACGACGACGACGGUGACUCGGCGGCUUCGAUGGCGAGCGACUCCGACCGCGCCACGGACCAGGUGUUUGAUCUCCUUAAAUCUAGGUUUGAGUCACCAGAAUUUCUUCAGGAGUUCCAUGAAAUUCAAAAGUCUGUAUGUCAAAACGGUGCAGUUGAAUUGGAUACAUCAUGGGAUGUGAUAAAGGCGGGAGAUUUGUGGGAAGAUGAUGACGACAAUGGAUAUGUUCUUGUUAAGCCAGAGGAUGCAGCUGAAGGGAUAGCUUUCUUUGUAGCCACAUACUUAUCGACACUUACAAAAACCAAGGAAUUAUCUCCUGAUCGACUUCAGAAAGCCCUUAAGAAGACAUUUUCAGCCGAGAAGAGAAAAGGCAAACUUCGGAAGGCAUGGGAUGGGACAAAAGUCAUUUAUAAUGUAGCUUCAUGGGGUGCCACAGCUGUUGGGUAAGUUAUUUCCUUGGGCAUGAACUUUUGAGAAAUGUUGACCCAACCUGCAUAACUUGUUACUAAGCUUGAGUUCCCGAGGGAAAUACUGCAAAUUAGUUUUCUGUCCAAUCCUCAGCGGCUAAUUUCAUUUCACAAAGCACACAAGCUGGUGAUGAGCAUAGUCAAAUGUACUGCCAGUUAUGUCUUCAGUGUUUGCCUCGGUCAUCCAUUUGGUAACCUCAUCCAAUCUAGUGGGUUACAUAUUGCUGCAAGCUUCAAAAUGCUCCUGGAGAGCAUCUACAAUAACCAAGCAAUUCUUAAGGCAGCAGGCACAGCCAUUCAGAUGUCCUGGCGUGUGGUGUCCAAGUUCCUGUGAGUGAUGGGUGGUGGUGAUUGUUGUUACUGGCGUGCUACAUUUAUUUAGGUAUAAAGGAUACCACAUUGGUUGGAAAUGUCCGAGUAGUUGAUAUACUGCCGAUUGAAGAAUUGAGGUCUAGAGUUUAGGUCUAUUGGGAUGCUUGAAGGAUUGAGGCUUAGCGUUUAGGUUUGUUGAUUGAAGGCUCGGAAGCCCAUUUAAAUAAAUUACGCUGGUGCUCGAAUGUAAAUAGGCCAUUAAUUUGGCUGCGUGAAGCAACUGAAGCUCAGCAUAUGUAUCCUAAAAUGUAAAUAUGAUUCAUUUGAUAACUUCACAUUGGUGCCAGAAUAAACUUCGUGAAUAAACUGCACCAACUGAA